AGUGAUUUUUCUAAAGGCUGCAAGAGCAGGUUGGGCUCCUUGGUGGAGAAGGAGCUGCAGAAGUGCUGGUGGGUGCACAGCAAUUGCCUCAGUGAGACCAUUCUGGAAGGCAAGCUGAGAAAAAGGCUUUCAGCUCCCAGUCCUCUUCAGCAUAUUCAGAUGCUCUUCCCUCUGCUUCUUCUCUAAUGCGUGGCUGGAUCAAAUGAAUUAAUGAAUUAUAUGCUGAAGGACCUCUUGAGUGUGUAUGCACUGCUGAGUUGGCUCAGGAAGUUCAAGUCCUCCUGGAUUCACUGACAUCUGUUUCUAAAAGCUGAAAACUGCAGCGGUAACAUACAAUAGAUGUUUGACUGAAGCUUUUUCAAUAACACAGAAAUGGCUUCAUGAACCAGACUUUGUGCAAAAUGUCAUAGAUGCUUGUCCCUGUAACUUGUGAGGACAUGGUAGAAGCACCAUGGCAUUUUAAGGUGUGCAGCUCCUGCAGCUACUACUCUAAAAGUGUUGUGGUUGGCCCUUUUUUACCUCCAAAUUCAAUUUCAGCAAAGAACCCCUAAAAGGAUAAAGAUGAAAAUGGAUUUAGAAAUUGGUCUUGGAACAGACUAAAUAUGAAUAAUUUUGCCUUGAAUAUUUUUGAUAAUAAUCUAGAAAGAUAUACAGUAUUUUCCAGACAAAAGAUGAGGUUCUGAUGUGUUUCUCUCCAAACAAUCUGUGAGUCUCGUGGUCACAAGAGAACAGAAUGUUUAGAUAGUUGAUUGCAGCGUGCAUAAAGAACUCACAGGUUCUUUUACAGUGUCCUGGAUUUGGUGAGAACCUGUCUUUUUUUCUUCCUAAUAAAUGAAUAGGUUACAAUGCCAAA